rnacentral:lncRNA from 1 species
CGGUGGUCCUCGUCUGCUUCUUGUCCUACAGUGACUGCGAAUUCACUUACAUACAACUAUGCUCUCCACACAUGCUGAAACUGGGGAUCUAAACAUAAAACACGGUCCCUGCUCCCCUGGGGGAGCACACAGUCAGACUGGGAAACGCAGAGAUAAUCAUCAGAGGAUGGGUACGCACCACAGCAGAGAUAGUAAGAGGGGCUGCAAAGCAGCCAGAAGAUGUGUGCGACCCAGCGUGAGGUCACUGGACUUGACCUCAUUUCCUUUUUAAUGAGAAGGUGAGGCUGAAGCCAUAGGCCAAGCAGGAAGCCUGCUGCCACAACCCAGGUGAGAGGCGGGGGUGCUGGACCAGAUGGGGGCAGAGGUGGGCGUGGUAAGAAGUGCUCAGAGCCUGGCUCAAUUCUGAAGUCACAGUCACCAUCAGGUUAGCUAACCUGAGUACAGAACCCUUGAGAGACGGGGACUCUCUCUCCAUGAAACCAGGUUCUUCCGGAGCGUGAGACCGAACCCCAAGGCAACGACCAUCCGCUCUGACAUCACAGGAGCCGGCCAGCUGCCUCCCUCCUGACUCACGACUUCAUCUUCCCCGAGGUCAAGGAGAAGCAAGUGGCACCCUCACCAGCCUCCACCACGGCCCUUACACCUGCCGUCUGGUUUGGGUGGGAACGGGGAGCAGCCUCGGGCUUCAAAUCCCUGUCGUUGGCGGUGGGAAACUCUCAGAGCCUCAGUUUCCUCGUCUACAGGAUAUUCCGACCAAUAAGCAGCCUAUAAAGUUGAUAGUGUGUGGUGCUACCAGAAUGUAAGUUACCUUCUCCAGAUUGCUUUGCUGGAAGCUUUCAUAAGGAAUAUCAGAUUGGACUAGAAAAUUCUGCAGGCUCGGAAUCUAAGCCAAGAACUCACCAUCACAUUCUACCUGCAGAACCUGUAGAUUGGGGUGAAUUCCUCUCCUUCCACAUCAAUAUACAUCCCUUAAGCCUUGGACAGCCGGUAAUAACCAUGUGAUGUGCGUCUCCAGGCAGCCAGAGCUUUAGUAAUUUCAGAAAUCGGACACAAGGUCAUCAGGCAGGCUAUUCUGCAGGAGCAAACGCUGUGGCUAUGCCUUCAGGAAGCCAACUUACAAAAAGGCCUUGAGUUCUGACUGGACAGGAAUCCUGCUGAGCCUCGAAUGCUACCAAAUUCAGAAAGGAGGCGGGGAAGUUAGGACAACUUGAAAAACAGAUUAAAAUCCUAAAAUAUUUCUGUAUUGAAGAUGUGUGAAAGACGACAUGAGCGGAGCCAUAUCAAAACAGAGCAAGGCAGCAGAUUCAGAGGCAUCGCCUCGCACAUCUUGUUUUCCUUAUCUUCCAAACUGGAUCAGAACACCAGCAUUCCAAGAAGUCAGUAGGGGCAAGAAUAGCCUGUCUGUAAGGAAACUCAACCUUGCUGACGACCGGAUUGCGAACCAACCUAUCAAGUACAAACCUAGCCUUCCCUCAUCCAGCACCAGUGAACUCUUCCUUAACACAGCUCACCUCAUCCCUUUCUCCCAUAAAAC